UUAAUAUCAAAAAGUUCCAGA
ensembl:piRNA 21ur-12137 ncRNA